rnacentral:ncRNA from 1 species
AUCUUCAGGGCGGGGCGAAAUUCCCCACUGGCGGUAAUCUUUCAUCGGAGAGCGCUUCAUUUACAAGCAAUGAGGUUCUUUAGAAAGAAGGCGAGUCCGCGACCUGCACUAUGCAGCCGAGCCGGUUAGAUUCCGGCACCAACAGUACAGUCUGGAUGGAAGAGGAU